UGGGGAAUAUUGGACAAUGGGGGCAACCCGUGAUCCAGCCAUGCCGCGUGAGUGAUGAAGGCCUUCGGGUUGUAAAGCUCUUUUGGCGGGGACGAUGAUGACGGUACCCGCAGAAUAAGCCCCGGCUAACUUCGUGCCAGCAGCCGCGGUAAGACGAAGGGGGCUAGCGUUGUUCGGAAUUACUGGGCGUAAAGCGAGUGUAGGCGGUUGCCGUAGUCAGGUGUGAAAGCCUUGAGCUCAACUCAAGAAAUGCACUUGAUACUGGGUGACUAGAGGACCGGAGAGGAUAGUGGAAUUCCCAGUGUAGUGGUGAAAUACGUAGAGAUUGGGAAGAACACCAGUGGCGAAGGCGGCUAUCUGGACGGUUACUGACGCUAAGACUCGAAAGCGUGGGGAGCAAACAGGAUUAGAGUACCCUGGUAGUCCACGCCGUAAACGAUGGGUGCUAGACGUUGGCGAGCUUGCUCGUCAGUGUCGCAGCUAACGCGUUAAGCACCCCGCCUGGGGAGUACGGCCGCAAGG
rnacentral:rRNA from 1 species